rnacentral:SRP_RNA from 1 species
AUUAGGCAUGGUGGUGCAUGCCUGUAGUCCCAGCUACUCAGGAGGCUGAGGCAGGGAAAUCACUUGAAUCCGGGAGGCAGAGGUUGCAGUGAGCCAAGAUCAUGCCACUGCACUCCAACCUGGCGACAGAGCGAGACUUCANNNNNNNNNNUGAAGUCUCGCUCUGUCGCCAGGUUGGAGUGCAGUGGCAUGAUCUUGGCUCACUGCAACCUCUGCCUCCCGGAUUCAAGUGAUUUCCCUGCCUCAG